rnacentral:rRNA from 1 species
UACGUAGGUGACCAGCGUUGUCCGGCUUUACUGGGCGUAAAGAGCGCGCAGGCGGUCGUUCAAGUCGAGUGUGAAAGCCCCCGGCUCAACUGGGGAGGGUCACUCGAUACUGAUCGACUUGAAGGCAGGAGAGGGAAGCGGAAUUCCCGGUGUAGUGGUGAAAUGCGUAGAUAUCGGGAGGAACACCAGUGGCGAAGGCGGCUUCCUGGACAAAGACUGACGCUCAGGUGCGAAAGCGUGGGGAGCAAACAGG